AAGUCGUAACAAGGUUUCCGUAGGUGAACCUGCGGAAGGAUCAUUACAAAUCCAUCACGUCUCUCUCACCGAGACCACGUUGAACUGUUCCACAUGGCGAAGGGGUGGUGGUGGUGGUGCGUCCUUCGGGUCCCCCUGUCCCUCUCUUCCUGUGUGCGUCCUUAUGUCACUUGUUGUCACUGUUGCUCAAUUGUAUCAACACACGAAUGUGAUGAAACAAAGAAACAACUUAUAACAAUGGAUCUCUAGGCUCUU
rnacentral:misc_RNA from 1 species